AUACUUACCUGGAUGGGAUCAAUGGGCGAUCAAUAAGGCCUAUGGUCCAGGUUGGUGACCUCCAUUGCACUCAAGAGGGGUGCCUGUCUAAGAUCUACUCAAGUAGUGGAGCCUAUGUCAUAAUUUUAAUUUGUGGUAGUUGGGGCUUGCGUUCGUGCGGU